rnacentral:rRNA from 1 species
GAUGAACGCUAGCGGCAGGCCUAACACAUGCAAGUCGAGGGGUAGAAGGAGCUUGCUCCUUUGAGACCGGCGCACGGGUGCGUAACGCGUAUGCAAUCUACCUUGUACAGGGGAAUAGCCCAGAGAAAUUUGGAUUAAUGCCCCAUAAUAUAUAACCUUCGCAUGUUGGUUAUAUUAAAGUUCCAACGGUACAAGAUGAGCAUGCGUCCCAUUAGUUAGUUGGUAAGGUAACGGCUUACCAAGACGAUGAUGGGUAGGGGUCCUGAGAGGGAGAUCCCCCACACUGGUACUGAGACACGGACCAGACUCCUACGGGAGGCAGCAGUGAGGAAUAUUGGUCAAUGGUCGCAAGACUGAACCAGCCAUGCCGCGUGCAGGAAGACGGUCCUAUGGAUUGUAAACUGCUUUUAUACAGGAAGAAACCCUCCCACGUGUGGGAGCUUGACGGUACUGUAGGAAUAAGGAUCGGCUAACUCCGUG